AUUGAACGCUGGCGGCAGGCCUAACACAUGCAAGUCGAACGAGUGGCGGACGGGUGAGUAAUGUCUGGGAAACUGCCCGAUGGAGGGGUAUAACUACUGGAAACGGUAGCUAAUACCGCAUACCAUCGGAUGUGCCCAGAUGGGAUUAUCUAGUCGGUGGGGUAAUGGAGCACAUAGGCGACGAUCCCGAGCUGGUCUGAGAGGGUGACCAGCCACACUGGAACUGAGACACGGUCCAGACUCCUACGGGAGGCAGCAGUGGGGAAUAUUGCACAAUGGGCGAAAGCCUGAUGCAGCAAUGCCGCGUGUAUGAAGAAGGCCUUCGGGUUGUAAAGUACUUUGAGCGGGGAGGCGUUACCCGAAGAAGAAGCACCGGCUAACUCCGUGCCAGCAGCCGCGGUAAUUC
rnacentral:rRNA from 1 species